AUUGAACGCUGGCGGCAGGCCUAACACAUGCAAGUCGAGCGGUAACAGAAAAGAAGCUUGCUUCUUUUGCUGACGAGCGGCGGACGGGUGAGUAAUGCCUGGGAACAUGCCUUAGUGUGGGGGAUAACCAUUGGAAACGAUGGCUAAUACCGCAUAACGUCUACGGACCAAAGAGGGGGAUCUUCGGACCUCUCGCGCUAAGAUUGGCCCAGGUGGGAUUAGCUAGUAGGUGGGGUAAAGGCUCACCUAGGCGACGAUCCCUAGCUGGUCUGAGAGGAUGAUCAGCCACACUGGAACUGAGACACGGUCCAGACUCCUACGGAGGCAGCAGUGGGGAAUAUUGCACAAUGGGCGCAAGCCUGAUGCAGCCAUGCCGCGUGUGUGAAGAAGGCCUUCGGGUUGUAAAGCACUUUCAGUCGUGAGGAAGGUGGUGUAGUUAAUACCUGCGUAUUUGACG
rnacentral:rRNA from 1 species